rnacentral:rRNA from 1 species
CGAGGAUUCCCAUAGUAACGGCGAGUGAAAUGGGAAAAGCCCAGCGCUGAAUCCAUCGAUCACUGGUCGCUUGGAAUUGUAGCGUAUAGGUGCGGCUGUCCGCUCGUUUCGUGCACCCAAAGUCCCCUUGAGCGGGGCCAUAGUCCAAAGAAGGUGCUAGACCUGUACGGGUGGCGAGACGAUCGGUUGGUCGCUCCUUGGAGUCGGGUUGCCUGGGAUCGCAGCCCAAAGUUGGUGGUAGACCUCAUCUAAGGCUAAAUAUGGCCACGAAACCGAUAGCAAACAAGUACCGUGAGGGAAAGUUGCAAAGAACUUUGAAGAGAGAGUUCAAGAGGGCGUGAAACCGCCGAGAUUGAAACGGAUAGAGUUGACGAAACUCGAUCGCAUUCAUCCGAUCCGCCUAGCGGUUCGGCGGUUGUUGACUUCCUCGAUGAGGGCAACGCCGUCGCUGGCUGUUGGGUGUUAGAUGGGUGUAUUUGCGGUCGGUAUGCGCCGAGAGCUUUGCGAACGCAUGUUGGCGUUGAUGUAGUGGACCACUCCCUCCGGGCGUGGAACCCUGCACUGACUGAGGCAUGUCGUUUGUAGGGUGUUGCUGGUUGACGUCUCCGCUAUGGUGCGUCGGCUUUGUCGGACUGUUGUGGCUACUGGGUGAUCGCAUGCGAGCGCCUGUGGUUUAUGAUCGUACGAUGAGGUGCAGACGCGCUUGAGACGUGCAUCUCGGUGUGAACGUUGACCACCUAUCCGA